GUUUCUGUAGUGUAGUGGUUAUCACGUUUGCCUAACGCAUCAAAAGGUCCCUGGUUCGAGACCGGGCAGAGACA